ensembl:lncRNA
AUGAUAUGAAGAGCAGAGUUGUCAGUGUUGAGGCACAGCUCGAAAAAUAUAAAGCAAUCGCUGAAGCACAGGAAAAGCGCAUCUCUCACCUGGAGAGCUAUUCACGGCGUUGGAAUCUGAAGCUCUACGGUCUGACCGAGAGGGACAAGCAGGACGUGCGGCAGGAGGUAAUCAAAGUCUGUAGAUCAGUCAUACCGGAGAUGCAAGAUAAAUCCCCCGACGUCGUUGACACCGUCCACCGCAUCGGUCCCAAGAGGUCCAACAACAACCAACCCAGGGGAAUCAUCAUUCAGUUUACAUCCAGGAUCUACCGCGAUGCUGUCUGGCGCGCUGCUAAGAAGUCCACCUACCUGAAACGUAACAACCUAAAGCUGGCUGAGGAUCUGUCCCCUGACGACCGCGCCCGAAGAAACAGACUCUGGCCGUCUGUGGAAGCUGCGCGCAACGAAAACAAGCUGGCGUUCUUCGUAGGAGGUCGUGCGUUCGUGGAGGGAAAAGAGAUUUUUCCAGCCCUAUAAUUUGAUCCAAGGUAUUUUGAGGUGAAAACUGAAGUAUCUUAAGAUUAACUUGGUUUCACUGCCGUUCUUUUUUUGUUUGUUUGUUUUUGUUGUUGGACUCAUAAAACGAUCAGAGUUAAACUGAUGCAGUUUAUUUGUUAUAAGUUUAUUGGUCUUCAGUUUGGCUGCAAUAUUUUUUACUGAAAAUGUUAUGAGCAAGCUGGAUAAGCUUCUUUUUAUUUUUUUUUUAUUUUUAUUCUUUUUUUGAAUAAUUAGUUAUUUAAAUGGAGCAAGAAAAUUUCUAUUAAGCUCCCUUUCAAUGCUCAUAUGUGAAGCGUUUAUUUAUUUUAUUUAUUUAUUUUUACCACAUUGGUUUUAUUGUUUUAGGCUAUUGUAUUCCUAUUAUUAUUCAAGUUCACAAUUUCCUUACUCAGGGGUUGCAGUUCUCAUCUUAUAUAGGACUCUCUUAAGUGACCAGUGACCAGGUUCAACUGUUCUUCAUUUACUUGGUUUAAGCUUUUUCUUAUUUGUCACUUUUAAUUUUUGUUACUAUCAUUAUUUCUCUGUCUGUUAUUUCUUUAAAUGCAAGAGGUUUAAGAAACAAUGUUAAACGUAAGGCUAUUUUUUUGUUUUGCAAGCAGUUCAAUUCAGAUUUCUGUUUUAUACAAGAGUCUCACUCAACAGAACAAGAAAAAACAUUUUGGAGAUCGCAAUGGGGAGAUGAUCUGUGGAUGUCCCAUGGUACAGAGCAUGCUGCUGGUGUCUGCAUACUUAAAGGAAGAUUUAAUGGUCAAAUCUUGAAUUCUGACAUAGAUAAAGAUGGUCAUUACAUUUUUCUAAUAGUUGAGGCUGCACACUCUAUCUAUAUUUUAGUCAGUGUGUAUGGUUUUAAC